GCGUUCGUAGUUCAGCUGGAUAGAGCGUCAGACUUCGAAUCUGAAUGUCGGGGGUUCGAAUCCCUCCGGACGCACCA
rnacentral:tRNA from 3 species